rnacentral:misc_RNA from 1 species
AUUUCUCUUUAUAUAUUAAGGUAAAAAGAAUUUUAAAACAGUGCAACAAUCCUUUUUUACAUAUAAAGCUCUCGCAUUAUACAUAUAAAAAUAUUUACAGGCACAAAAUCAGUGAAGACAAAGACAUCCUCAAGAAAAAUAUUGUCCCAAAGAACUUCCUCAUGAUUUGGAUCCUUCUUCCUAUAUUACUAUCUACUACGACCUGUCAACUUCUACCAACAGUAAACGUCUUGUCGUCGUGCUGCCCAUUUUUUCUAUUUUCUUGCCUAACUGUAGCAUUAACUGAAAUAUCUGGAGGUUCUAUUUAUCUCUAACUUCAAUCAUGUGAUACGCCUGGAAUUCUUGUACUACAAAGCUAAGACUUAAGAGGGUCAGUUGAAAAUUCUCUGGCCUGGCGAUAGCAUCAUUUUUGGAUCAAACAGAGCUUUCCUCUCUCGAAAAGUUCUCCAUUUGGAUCCAAAAUGGUUGAUCCAUUCCUCUUUACUUUUGUCAUGGGGAAAAUACUGCUUAACCUUGAUGCCCGCUUUUUCACAGAACUUUAACAGUUCUUUGUUCUGAUCAUCAUACUUCUGCCAGUCAUCAAACCCACUUGAAUGCAGAAAUCCCACUGUGUAAAAUACUUCCUCAUCUGGUAUGACUGCAGAAGUUCGAUCAUCCCAUUUGUUUCGGUUCAUUGGGUAAAUAAGGACAGGUCCUGUGGUAAUGUUUCGUUUAAGAACAAUGUCUCGGAAAACACCUGAAUUGAAGUCAGAAAUACGAGAUUUUGGCAGAAAAAGAUUAAGCCAUGGAUGAGGAACAUCCCAGAGUCCUUGUGACUGAAGCUUUAGCUCUCCAUUUCUUACUCUAUCUAAAAACUCCACAUACGACACAUCUUUCUCCAACUUAAAUCCAGGAAUGAAGCUUAACCCUUUGUACAUUUGCUGAAGUUCCUUGGCCACAGAAUGUUGGGUUGUAUCAUCAUAAUACUUGGCCACUUCAAGACAGUAGAUGAUGCCGUGUUGGGUUACUAUUGACAUUAUUCUGGGGAUAUCAGACGAAGGGAAAAAGGAAGAUCUCCAAUUAUUUGGAGGACCCUGGUUCAUAAGAAGUGAACCUUCCACGUAAUCAAGUGCAUUGCUUUGUUUUCUUCCAUUGAUUGAGAUUAAACGUUCUUGGUCUUUUGUGAAGGCUGAGAAAUCGCUGUAAAGCACCCGUACCCACUUAACCCUCUUUGGUGCUGGCUCUAUACCUAUUCUAGCCCUGGUUAUGAUUCCAAAUUGGCCUAGGCCGCCCAGAACAGCAUAAAAUAGCUCAGAAUUCUUGUGCGCAGAGCAAGUGACAAGCUCGCCUUUUCCAGUUACAACAUCCAUUUCGUAGACGUUGCUGAUCUGAGGACCAUAUCGAAAACUUUGUCCACUUAUUCCAGCAUUAGAGAGCGUCCCUCCAACGGUGAGAUACAAGUAAUCGGUCCAUGACACCGGUGCAAGUCCAUGCUCCAAUGUGGCUUUUAACACAUCAAUCCAUAGCUGUUCGCCUCCAACAUCUGCAUAAAACCCCAGUGAAGGGUUCUUUGAGACUAUAACUCCAUUCUGCUCUCUAUGACUCCUUAGAUGCAUCAUGUCUACUACUACUCCAUUAGGAGCCAUAGCUUGUCCAAAUACAGAAUGACUGCGGCCUCUAGCAGAUACAGUAAAAGGAGCAGAAUUAUUGUAGGCGAAUUUUAUUAGACUCACGAUGUCUUGUGUGGAUGAUGGAUAAAGAACUGCGGCUGGGUUUUCGUGGACAAUGUUACCAUAAUCGCUAGAGGCUGAUUCAAUGGCUAAAGAGUCUGUGCGAAUUCUCUCGGAGAAAUCAAGGCUUAGGAGAUUAGGUGGCAGGAAAUCUGUCCAGGGCUUGGAUUUUCCUAUUGCGGACACUAAACGAGUUACAAAUAAUAAUAUGACUAUGGAAUGAGCUGGAACUGCGUAAUUCACAGCCAUUUUUCUUUGUGCUUUCUCGUCUGGCUUUCUGGAUAGCUAGCAAAAGAAAGAAAGGAAGGUUUUACUCGUCUAGCUUUCUUGAUAGUGAAAGAAAGAAGAGCAAAGGAGGCCGAAGUGAGGAGGGGUAUUUUCUAAUGGUGGUGGAGA